AAAAAAUUCAUAUUACAAGAACACAUUGGUAUUGAAGGAACUAGAUACCGUUCCGAAAUAUCACUUACUCGAACCGUCCUGACCGCGUAGCUCAGUUGGAAGGGCAUUGGGCUAGUAUUCCAAAGGUCGUAGGUUCGAAUCCCACCGUGGCCGGGCAUAUUUUUCAAGCUCGCCCGGUGUGGAUAUACACUCAGAGUAACACCACAAAUAUCAUAUUCACCUGAGUACACUACACCAACACAGAAAAAAAAAAAAAAUUCAUAUUACUAGAAUACAUUGGUAUCGAAGGAACUAGAUUCUGUUCCGAAAUAUCACUUACUCGAACCGUCCUGACCGCGUAGCUCAGUUGGAAGAGCAUUGGGCUAGUAUCCAAAGGUCGUAGGUUCGAAUCCCACCGUGGCCGGGCAUAUUUUUCAAGCUCGCCCGGUGUGGAUAUGCACUCAGAGUAACAUCACAAAACAUAUUAUUCACCUGAGUACACAACACCAGCACAGAAAAAAAAAUUCAUAUUACAAGAACACAUUGGUAUUGAAGGAACUAGAUACUGUUCCGAAAUAUCACUUACUCGAACCGUCCUGACCGCGUAGCUCAGUUGGAAGAGCAUUGGGCUAAUACUCCAAAGUCGUAGGUUCGAAUCCCACCGUGGCCGGGCAUAUUUUUCAAGCUCGCCCGGUGUGGAUAAGCAC